AGGUUUUCAAAGCUGUGUUUACUGUUUCUUAAAAAUAAUCAGCUAAAAAAAUCCUUAGUCCAAAGAGGCAUAUUUUGGGGUGGCAUAUCUGUUCCUUUUCAGGACAAGCCUGUAUUCAUUCAUCAUGUUACCGUCAGAAUUCCCUGAGUAGCUGCCUCAGAAAAGAAGCAGCAGAAUCUCCUGGAAAGUGAAGAGUACUUCACACCAAAGGCCCAAGAUAUUUCUGCUUUUCACUUGAAGGUGUGCACACACACACUAGAACAUCAGGUGGGGUUGAGGGUAUCACACGUACAAUUUCCAAUCAGUCUACAAAACAUACCAGAUUAGUGAGGUGUGCUAUGGAACAGUGUGUUGGUGUUCCCAGAACGGUUAGGGCAGCCAGGUUCUCAUUCUGCUGGAGCUCUUCCAAGUGGGAGGCUAUUGAAGGCAAGAGCAUCAAUGUUGGGAGAGACAGGAUUUAUGCUGAUAGCAAGUGAUUCUACUGUCGCAGCAUUAAGCUUUAUAAACUUCAGGAAAUGAAUGCAAAUGCAAGAGUUUUUGUGAAACCUGAGAAACUGAUGUAAAAGUUUUAUUUGGAAUAGUAAAGGCCCAGAAAUAACCAGGAAAAUUUGCAUGAGAGAACAAAUAUGGGAAAGUAGCUCUUAAAAAUGUCUAGAAACAUAAACAAGAAGCAAGACAAUGCUGGGUACAAGGAGGGGAGUAGGCACCAUGCACUAAACAUCAUGAACUGCUUCCGAUUGCCCAACUAAUAGGAAAAGGGCUCAAGAGAAUCAGUAAUGAGGGGAAUUCAAAAAAUGUAAGGCACUUUCUAGCAUUGAGUUAUUGUUAUUUUUAACUUACCUUUGGCUGACAAAGCAUGCAAGAAGAUGAUGGCUUUCGAUCACUUCUAAUUGCAGGAGGGCUGUCAAAUAAAUCGUAACCAAAGGGAGUGAAGAAUUUUCUUUAAGUAAGGAAAAGGCUGAACUCUCCAUAUCAGAGGUGAACUAACUAUUUAUGUCAAUAUUAAUUCUGCAGGAAGAAAAUUCCCUCCUAGUCCUUCUUUCAGAAGAUAUUCAAUACUUACUGUGGAAAUGAGCCAUUUGAAGUUUUCUGAGGUUGAGAGGCACAGUCUUGAUACUUUCAAGCUUUUGGUCAGCAACAAUCAUGCUGGGCUGGAUGCUGUUGCUGGCUUUGACUAAAAAAUCAGGAGCUUGGCAAUCUAUUAUAUGUCCACUCUUAUUUAGGCUCCUCCCCCACCCCAAAGGGUAGAGUUUAGGUAGGCAAGGAAAAGAUUAUUGGUAAUGUUUCUAGUUUGAUCCAGUUAACUAAAAACAGAGGAGGGCUGAAAAAUCAGAAAUCUUUAUUUGACUUAAUUUAUUUAAAAAUGAUAUACAUAAUUAAACCAGGCAAUCACCUGACCAAGCAAUUUAAUUCUACCAAUAACAAGGAAUAAUUAUUAUUUAGAAAAAUUAGUCAUUAGUGAGCAAAGCCAACGGGAAGGGAGAAGACACCAAUUUCAAAAGGAAGAACUUCACUGUAAACAUUUGUGUUUAUAAGCUAUCUUAUCAGAAUACACAAAAGCAAAGUAGAGACUGUGUAACAGGCAACUGGGCCAGGAGCCCACAUAAAAGGGAUAAGGAACACAAGAGUGGAGGAAAUACUGCAGAUACAGAAAUAGCUAUUUAAUAAACAAAUUAUCAUCAUCAAUGACCAUAUUUUUACCAAAGAAUAAGCAUUCCAAAGAAGCACUGUUUGGUUAAUAUAAAAAUAAGAAAGUUUUAAAGUGUACAUUCCCUGAAAAAUUCAUUUUUAUAUGUAAUAUACAUAUUUACAUCCAAAGAUGACUAUUUUUAAACGUCUAUGACAAUCAAUCUAUCUGACCCUGCAACAAGCCCCCCAUACAAUUUCUCAUAGUUUGAGAGUAUGGAUAUGAAAUUAUUGCCAGUGAGAACAUUUCAAUGUCAUCUACAUUUUCACUUGGAUGUUUUUCAGUCCCCAAAUUUGUAAUCUUGGGGUAGCCAAUGGGAUGCUGGUGGCAUGAUAGCAUAUUGAAAAAUGUUGAGGUUUUCCAACAUGUUCUACUUUAAGUAUGGUUAUGAUUAUUAGACUUUUUAUUAUACUACUCACACAGGGUUUCUUGUUGCAAGGACACCUUAGGAGGAACAUAUUAAGGGAGCAGAGCAAUACUAAAUGAAUGGUGUUCAGUGGCAGGUUGAUAGAAGUCUAUCAUAGCAGAUGUUAAACUAUAAUAUAAAAAUUUGUAUAAAAAGAAUUUAAACACCAACAGAUAAAAUUUGAAGUUAUACCUCUCAUAUAGCUCCUUGGGUAACCCAAAUUAUAUUUUUUUUGGAAAAUGUUAUAAUGCUUUUAAAAAAGAACGAAUCUGUUAAUUUUAAAGUAAAACUUUAAAAAAUGAUAUAAAACAAUUUAUUUUACCAAGGAGGCAAUAAAGUGAAAAUUGCUUCAAGUAAAGAAACAUGAAGGAGGUCUGUAAUAGUGUAGGACUGUCCUACUUUGGGCACAUCACGAGAAGGAAGGAUUCUUUGGAAAAAAACACUGAUGCUGGGGAAAAAGAAGGCAGCAGGAAAAGAGGAAGAACAAGUAGGCAGAUUGACUGCACAAAAGAAGCCAUGGGCAGGAAUCUACAGGAGCUGAGCAGGGCUGCCUAGGCUGUGGAUAUCACUCAUUCAGAGUCACCAUGAGGCAGAGCCAACUCAAGGGCAAGUAACACUCACAUAAGAUCCAGCACUUCUCAGUAUGUGUGCUGAGCUGCUUUCAGGAGAGCCCUGAAACAAGUACUUCUUUAUACCAAUUGUGGCAGAAAAGUGAUGUGGGGAAAGUCUGCACUAAUAGCUGCACUAAAAGCCAAUUAUAAAAAAAUGUAGAUAAGAAUAAUAAAACAUUUAACGAAUUAACGCCUACUUGAUUAGGUUAGCAUUAGCAAGAAGGCAUCAUUUCAAAGGCGUGGCCAAGAGGGUAAAUGGUUCCCUUGAGAAUAUGGAAAGGAGCUCUAAGUGAUAACAGGGUAGCACCGAAGAAAAUCAGGACGAAUAAAUUUUGUACUGAAUACUGCAUAAGGAAUGCAGGUUAUCUACAUUUCCUAUUUGAAUCCUACAGAAAUGAGGAAAUCCAAUUAUUUUUAGCUAAAUUGCAUUGGCAUUUUUAAGCACCCUCCAGUGAAUGAGAAGUUUGGCCCCAGAAGAAUGUAACCUAUGUAUAAACUCCUUAUUUUUAAGAGCCUUUGCUACCUGUAUGAUGAAUCUGAGAAAAGGUACUAGCAGAUGAAGCAAAUUCAAAGGAGAACCUCUGUCCCCACUCCUAGUAAAAUGCUUGGUAGGAGAGGCUGAAAUGCAUCAAGUUAAUAUCCUGUGGCCUUUUUGGGUGCUAUUUGUAGAUCAAACUUUUCUAUGCUUUUUUCUGGUCCCACUGCUGCCUGGUUUUACCCACCAUGAAAGGAAAACAUUUUAUAAACCAAAACAAGAGCUAUCCUUCUCUCUCUAGAGAUCAAGAGCGCUCUCUGAGCUGUGGCUCUGAGCCUAUCUGAGAUCAGGCUCCACACAGUCCGAAUGUUUCAACAAUCACUGGCCAGCAUGCACCUCCUAUAGCAAUGGCCUCCAAGGUUUUCAUUUUUUAGUGUUGUUUUUUUUUUAAACUGAAAUUCAGAAUAGGAAAUAACAUUUUAUAUUGCAACCUAGUAUACAUAGUAUAUAGAGUAUUUAACCAAAACAAUAUUUUGGAAACAAUGAUUGAUCUUGCUCCAUACUCUGCUCUCUUUUCUAUUCCACUUUUGAAAUAUUCAGGGCUUGAGCUGUUAAAUUGAUUUCAUGAACCACUAAUGGGUUAAGAUUUGUAGUUUGAAAAACAGUGCCCUUGAGGAUGUUGGUUGAUCUUGAGAAAAGGUAAAAAGUAAUGGCCCUGGAACCUGAACAGAUUUCUCUGAAUGGUGUUGGCUGGCACACAAAACACCCAUCCUGCAUGGCUACUUCCAUUUUCAGGGUGUUCAGCACACACCUUCCAACUCCUACCGGCAAACUGACCCAGUACCUUCUCCCAGUCUUCCUUGUACAGGGCUCUGGCUUGGCCUGAAGGGUCAAUAGACUGGAUAACUAAGGUGCAGAAAAGUCAGCACUGUGUCUCCUCAUUGUGUACCAAACAGAAAUAGGACACUAUGUAGAGGAUAUUUCUAUGGGUGCAUAUGUGAUCACUGGGAUAAUAACACCGCUACUCCCAUCAGGAAAAAAAAAAAAAAAAUGAGAGAAAUAACUGAUAGAAAAUGUUAAAAAAAAAAAAAUUCUUACUAAUUUGAGGCCACAGGAUAGUUGGAAUGGAUUAGGGCUGUAGAGGAGAAAGGGGCAGGGAAGGGUCCAGAAAGUAAUUCAGCUGUACUACACAGAUGAUGAGAAACACAUCUCACUUGGGAAGGAACAGUUGACACACUGUAAUAGGGGAGCUUUUGGAGACGUGCACAUGUUCUUUGGUUCAAAAAGUAUUUUGUAGAAGUGAGGAAAUCACAAGCUUCUUUUUGUAACAGAAAUCAACAUUGUUAUCUCUAAUAAUCACAGCUUUCUGGAGAAGAGUUGGCAGAGAACCGAACUCUGCCUUGGGUAUCAUACAACAACCACGGACCAGAAUAUAUGCUGGACUAGAAUUGAGGACCUGGAGCCACAGCUGACACAUAAUACAAAGAGAGAAAUGAUCUAAAACUCAGGACUUCAUUCCAUAGCAACUACUAAACAACAAGCUUAACAUUCUCAACAAGUUUAUAGAACUCAAACUACCAAACAACAAGCUUAAAGUUUUCAAAUAGAAAGACAUUAAGUGUAGUAAAGUAUAAUUCAGGACAUUGUUUUCAAAUAUAAUAAGAUUAUAGACUCUAUAACAUUAAUGAAAAAGAGAAUAUAGAAAUAAAUACAUAAUUGUAAAGUGUUAAAAAUGCUAAAAAGAUGAUGCAUCAGAUCUACUGUUUCCAUAAGAACAAUCUAAGACAAUUGGAAAACGACUGUUCUUGACAUUGUGGGUCUUUCUACUUUAGGAACA